CAUGUUUUUCCUAGUACUGUAAAUGAUUCUGUUUUGUGGAACAAAAGACUUGGUCAUUUAGCUAUUCCACUUUGAAGCAAAUUAGCUCAAAUGGUUUAAUUCAAAAUUUACCUUCCAUUGGAAAUGAUGUUGAUGUGUGUGAUGUAUGCCAAUUUGGAAAGCAAAGUAGAUUGUCAUUCCUUGCAGUAGCAAGCUGGAGAGUUACUGAAAAAUUGCAACUUAUACAUACUGAUGUGUGUGGUCCAAUGAGUAACUUCUCUAAAUGGAAACAAGUAUUUUCUGCUAUUUAUAAAUGAUUUUAUAAGGAUGAGUUGGGUGUUUUUUCUAAAGCAAAAGUCAGAAGUGGUUGCUUCAUUUUAGAAUUUCAAGCCUAUGGUUGAAAAUGAGGUUAGAUGUCAAAUUAAAAAGCUCAGAUCUCACAAUGGGAUUGAGUAUACAGCAGGAGAAUUUAAAAAACUGUGAACAAGAAGGAAUUCAGCAUCAAUUCACUGUUCCUUACUCUCCUCAACAAAAUGGAGUGAGUGAAAGGAAAAACAGGACAGUGAUGGAAAUGGCUUGGUGUUUGCUCUUUGAGAAAGGUCUUCCUAAGAGUUUUUGGGCUGAGGCUGUAAAUACCUCAGUUUACUUGCUGAAUUUGUUGCCUACCAAAGCCUUGAAUGGCAAAACACCAUUUGAAGCGUGGUUUGAAAGGAAGCCUUCGAUGGAGCAGUUGAGAAUAUUUGGUUGUGUUCUACACUCAUGUUCCAGCUGUAAAAAGAGAUAAGUUGGAUCACAAGUCAGAAGUUGACAUCUUUUUGGGGUAUAGUAAUAACUCCAAAGGAUACCGAGUGUACAAUUUGGAGACAAAAAGAAUUCUGGUUAGCAGAGAUGUGAAGUUUGAUGAAGUUUCCAAAUGGAAUUGGGAGAAAUGUCAAGCUGAAGACAAUUUGCAAGAACUGAAUUUUGAUGAUGAAGAAGAAAACUAUGACAGCGACACUGAUUUUCCAGUGAAAGGUACAAGAUCCUUGCAAGAUGUUUAUACAAAAUGUAAUGUUGCUGCAUUAGAGCCAAAAAGGUAUGAUGAAGCUGCUGAAUUUGAGAAUUGGAGAGCUACCAUUCAAGAGCAGAUGAAGAUGAUAGAGAAAAAUCAGACUCAGACUUGGCGACUUGUUGAUAGACCAAUUAAUAAAAAUGUGAUUGGUGUAAAGUGGGUUUACAGAACUAAGCUCAAUCCUGACGGUUUUGUAAACAAACUUAAGGCUAGAUUGGUGGUAAAAGGCUAUUUGCAGUAGCCAGGUGUUGAUUUUUCAGAUACUUUUGCACCAGUUGCAAGGCAUGAUACAAUCAGAUUAUUGAUUUCUAUGGCAGCAAACCAUGGUUGGAAAAUCUAUCAUUUUGAUGUAAAAUCAGCUUUCUUGAAUGGCUUGCUUGAUGAGGACAUAUAUGUUGAUCAACCUAAAGGUUUUCAAGUUCCGGGAAGUGAAGAUAAAGUCUACAAACUUCAAAAAGCUCUCUAUGGCCUAAAACAGUCUCCAAGAGCUUGGUAUAGCAGGAUUGAUAGUUAUCUUUUGAAAAAGGGCUUUAGAAGAAGUGAAAAUGAAGCCACCUUGUAUGUGAAGAAGUGGAAAAAUGAAAUGCAGCUCAUUGUUUCCUUGUAUGUUGAUGAUUUGUUGGUUUUAGGAAAUGAAUCUGAUUCCCUAAACCAAUUUAAGAAGGACAUGGAAAAAGAAUUUGAAAUGACUGACUUGGGUGAAAUGAAGUAUUUUCUUAGGAUGGAGAUUUCUCAGUCUAAUGAUGGGAUCUUCAUUUCACAAAAGAAAUAUGCUUUGGAGAUAUUGAAGAAGUUUCGCAUGGAGCAAUGCAAGCCUGUUGUCACUCCAAUUGUUGUGAAUGAAAAGUUAUCAAUAAAUGAUGGUAUUGAUUUAGCAAAUGAUUCUGUUUAUAGAAGUAUAAUUGGUAGUUUGUUGUAUCUGUCAGCAACAAGACCAAACAUUAUGUUUCCUGCAAGCUUGUUUUCUAGAUUCAUGCAUUCACCUAUUCAAGUUCAUUUCCGUGCUGCAAAGAGAUUUUUGACGUAUAUAAGAGGUACAACUGAUUAUGGUUUGUAUUUCUUAAAAACUGAAAGUGGAGAACUUAAAGGAUAUGCAGAUAGUGACUGGGCAGGAAGUGUAGAUGAUCCUUAGAGCACCUCUGGUUAUGCUUUCUCAUUUGGUAGUGCUGUUUUUUCAUGGAAUUCAAGUAAGCAAGAUGCUGUGGCCCAAUCCUCAGCUGAAGCUAAGUAUAUUUCAGCUGCAGCUACAGCAAAUCAAGCUAUUUGGCUAAGGAAGAUUCGGUUAGAUGUGGGUCAAAUUCAAGAUGGAGCUACUGUCAUUUGGGUGGACAAUAAGUCAGUCAUUUGUAUUGCCAACAAUCCUGUCCAGCAUGGAAGAACUAAGUAUAUCAAGGUGAAGUUUCAUGACAUUAGAGAAGCUGUGAAGUCAAGAGAAAUCAGCUUGGAGCAUUGCAGCUCUGAAGAACAGAUUGCUGACAUAAUGACAAACGCACUUUCCAAGGGAAAGUUUGAAAUGCUACUAAGAUCAAGACUUGGAGUGCACAAGAAAACUCUCAAGGAGGAGUGUUAGAAUUGAGACUUUUCUUGUUAUUUUUGUAUUAAAAUAUGUUGCUGUUAUGUUUCUGAUAUAAGUUAGUAUUAGUCAACAUGUAGUAGGUGAAAUUGAAUGAAAGACCUUGUUUUAAGGGAGUGGUUAAGCUAAGUCAGUAUGAGGUGUGUUGUGUUGCUUGUAACUUUGUAUUUUCACCAACUACAAGUCACUUAUGUAUGCUGGAAAAACCAGAACGAAAAUACAUUUCUAUCUUCCAUCAUUUUCUGCUGGUUGUUGUGAUCUUUCUUUUAUGUUUUCUUCUCCCAUUUCACUCAUGUUCAGUUUUUAGUUUCUUACUUUAACAUAUAUUUAUAGGAAAGGGUAAUUUCAAAUUAUGUUAAAGUAUAGUAUAUAAAUAUAUUUUAAUAUUUAUAGAGUAUAGAAUAUUCUUAUAU
rnacentral:lncRNA from 1 species